rnacentral:lncRNA from 1 species
CUUAAAAAUAAAAGUAUAUCAUGGAAAGAAUGGAUUUUUGGCAUCCUAUUCUUUGAUGGUGAAUGGUCUUGUUUAAGGAGUCGCCACCUAGUAUUAUGGUCACUAGGAAUCCUAACUGGUUAACAGAGAUUCUAUGGUACGAGACUGGUUACGCAAAAGGGAAGAUAUUAUCACCCCUUAAGCGUCCUGCCUAAGGCAGGCUGCAUUGCUGACUUUGUCAUAAAUUGCUAAUGUUUUGUU